rnacentral:rRNA from 1 species
GAUGAACGCUGGCGGCGUGCCUAAUACAUGCAAGUCGAGCGAACAGACGAGGAGCUUGCUCCUCUGACGUUAGCGGCGGACGGGUGAGUAACACGUGGAUAACCUACCUAUAAGACUGGGAUAACUCCGGGAAACCGGAGCUAAUACCGGAUAAUAUAUUGAACCGCAUGGUUCAAUAGUGAAAGACGGUUUUGCUGUCACUUAUAGAUGGAUCCGCGCCGCAUUAGCUAGUUGGUAAGGUAACGGCUUACCAAGGCAACGAUGCGUAGCCGACCUGAGAGGGUGAUCGGCCACACUGGAACUGAGACACGGUCCAGACUCCUACGGGAGGCAGCAGUAGGGAAUCUUCCGCAAUGGGCGAAAGCCUGACGGAGCAACGCCGCGUGAGUGAUGAAGGUCUUCGGAUCGUAAAACUCUGUUAUUAGGGAAGAACAAAUGUGUAAGUAACUAUGCACGUCUUGACGGUACCUAAUCAGAAAGCCACGGCUAACUACGUG